rnacentral:rRNA from 1 species
GACGAACGCUGGCGGCGUGCCUAAUACAUGCAAGUCGAACGGUCUUUUCUAUGGUAGCUCGCUUCCACUGAGAAGAUAGUGGCGAACGGGUGAGUAACACGUGGGUAACCUGCCCAUAAGAGGGGGAUAACAUCCGGAAACGGGUGCUAAUACCGCAUAGUUUUCUUGAUCGCAUGAUCGAGAAAGGAAAGACGGCCUUUGUGCUGUCGCUUAUGGAUGGACCCGCGGCGUAUUAGUUAGUUGGUGAGGUAACGGCUCACCAAGACGAUGAUACGUAGCUGACCUGAGAGGGUGAUCGGCCACAUUGGGACUGAGACACGGCCCAAACUCCUACGGGAGGCAGCAGUAGGGAAUCUUCCGCAAUGGACGAAAGUCUGACGGAGCAACGCCGCGUGAGUGAAGAAGGUUUUCGGAUCGUAAAACUCUGUUGUCAGAGAAGAACAAGUCGGAGAGUAACUGCUCCGGCCUUGACGGUAUCUGACCAGAAAGCCACGGCUAACUACGUGCCAGCAGCCGCGGUAAUAC